UAUUAAAAAAAAAAAACCUUAAAGGAACUCUGAAGUGAGAUGUAUAAAAAUAUUCAUGGAUGUCCAUUCAUGUCAUUUCAGUGGCUCUGAGAUCCAGGACAGUAGGGUUUUAGAGAUCAUCUGGGAUGUUAGAAUCAGCUCAGGUGGGUCCACAGGCCUUUUGGAAAUGAGAAACUCCACUUCUCUAACUGGUGUACCUACAAUGAUACCAUCAUCAUACCUCUGAAGUACCACUGGUUUUCUUCCCAUGCUCUCAGGAGUCUGCUUCUGUUAGGUUGUUUGGAGUGGUGUCCAAGUGUAGUUUAAACAUUGCUGCCCAGGCUGGGCACAGUGACAGAAGUCUAUCAACCCAGCAACUCCUGUAAUCCUAAUGAAUUGGGAGGUUUAGGCAGCAGGCUCACAAGUUCAAGGCCAGUCUCAGCAAUUGAGUGAGGGCUUGAGAAACUUAGACCCUGUCUCAAAGUAAAUAAAAUUACAGGGGUGGGUGCAUACCUCGGUUGUAAAGUGCCCCUGCGUUCAGUCCCCAGUACCCCGCCCCCCAAAUCCCCAGAAACGAAACAACAAACAAAAGCAUUGCUGCAUAGGCAUGGUCUUCUAGCAAAGGAAUAUAAAUUUGUUUCUCAGAUGUUCAACCAAUGGCAUAAUCUAGAACACAGUGUAUAUUUGUAGCUCCCAAAACCUUAUUUUUAUCUUAGGUUUGAAGUAGAAAUUCUAUCUUAAUUCUGUGUGCAGCUUCACUUUGACUGAACCAUACAGAGGGUCCAUUUCAUCAGUGAAAAUAGUGGAAGUCUUGUCUUUCUGGCAAGUUGGAGUAAGUACUUAGAAGUUUUCACUUUCACAUAGCCACAUAGAAACAAGGUUAGGAGAAGAUCUGAACAAAAUGUUGAGUUGUUUGCUUCUGUUGCUAAAGCUCAACAUUUUGUUCAGAUCAAAUAACAUUUUUCUGUACUAGAUGGCCCAAAUAAUAGGGAUCCUUUCCAUGGUGCCCAUGUAAUGAUGAGAUUUAAUAGCAAUUUCACAGCCUCUUUGAGUGCUUAUUUGGCUCCUUCAAGAGGGCAGCAUCACUCCAUUUUCAUUUGGUUACUUUAUAUCAGUAACAUCUUAAAAUGGAUUCUGCAGUUUCUUUGUUUCAGGAUCACCUGAUUCUCCUUCUCCAUUCCUGUGAUUCAUCAUCAGCUGGACUUGAUUGUCCAUGUUUCACUGUUUUCCUGGUUUUCUGUCUAUCCUUCAGAUGCUUCUUUAAUUGUUCUGCUCUAUCAAGAAAUUCUGUGCACCCUGCCCCAUACUUUGGUUGGCUUUAUACAGCUUUGUCUUCUUUUGCUGCUUUGCUUGCAAAAUCUAUUGUUUUCUGGAGGCAGGUUCCAAUGAACGCAGUGGUGGAAACCCAAGGAGGGUUCUUAGAGAUAGAGGAAGGUUGAAGAAAGCCAAUAGCAGUCAUGUCUAAUGGCACCCAGUUAAAGCCACAAACCUUAGGAGGUUGGUGUCUCUUUUGUACCAAGCAGUGCCUUCUGUUUCAGAACUUAUAAAAUAGCACUGCGUCACACCAGCUGGGAACCUCCUCCAGACAGACAUCAGAUUUAAGUCGUUCUUACUGGUAGUGUCUUAAUGUUGUCUUGUUUUAUGUUAGAAAUAAGGCAAGGAAGGUUUAAGUUAAAGUUUCAUUCCUAAUGUGGCCCAGAUGUGCACAGCAUGGGAAGCAGGGAAUGCUUUCAAUGUAGUGUUGUGAAACUUGCUUGGAAACUUCCAUAUACGUUUUCUUUCUAAUAAAGCUUCUUUGGCUUAAGCUCUCAGGAAAAUAAAUUUAAUGUAGGUGAUUAAAAACGUGGCAGUCUUGGUUGAAUAUAUCACAACAUUUCAGAAGUUGGGAGAUGAACUCAAAAAUAGACAGAUGUGUCAUCUGGAAUGGUGACAUAGCUGGGAAUUUUGUAGGCUUCUUUUUUAACUUCCUAGUUUUAAACUUUAACUCUCCCAAGAUUCAUUCUGUUAGGAAACUUUCUGCUUUCUAACCCCAGACUCCAUCUCUUUCCCUGAUAAUAACCCAGCCUCCCUCCUUCCCUUCUUUCCUUCCUUCUUUUUUUUUUUAAACAGUGACUAACCCUAAGCAGUUAGUGCAUAGGGAAGAAUCUGUCUUUGGCAUCUCUCUGCUGUCUCUCUUUAUGUCGCGCAUUUCAGAUCUGAUGUAUAGGGUUCUUGUCAUCUUGCUCUCAGGGAGCCAUAUUGAUCUUUCCUGGGUAGUGACAGACUCCAGAACAUCUUCAUUAUGACCCUGCAACAAAACUUAUCAAUUCCAUUUCCUGCCUUAAGUAAGUGCCCAUCUGUUCUCGUAAUUAAUCUUGUACUCAACCACAGAAAUGUGUUUUUAAGAUCUUAAUGCAGUUAUCCUUUUCCCUCCCCUUGAUUUAAAAGUAUAUCCUCCUCCAGCUCCCAGGCGAGUCUGAGGACAUAGCUGGACAUUGCUGGGCCCGGGUGUCCACAGCCUCUGUGAAGGUCUCCUCUGCACUUGUGGAUGGCUUGAUUCUGCAUUUCCAUUCUUGCUGUGCGCUCACACAAGGCCCAUGCUGCGUUUAACAGGUUCUUGUUGCCAUCUUGAGGUUCAUAAUCAUUUUUAAAAGUGCCCUUCAUUUUCAUUAUGCACUAGGCCCUGGAAAUUAUGUAGUAGCUACCCUUUCAAUGAGCUUUUAUUCAUGGCCUGCUUUCUCUCUUCCUCUUGUGUUCAGCAUCCCCUUGGUGGGCUUCCUGUGCUACCCACAUAUCACUGUGUUUUUAGCUUUUUUCUUUUCAUUCAUGUUCACCUCAGCCAACCCUAAAGUGUUGCUGCACUCAAAGAGUUUAGUUUUUACAAUUGCUUGGUCAGUUGAACAGUCGGUGUAGUUUCUUGAGCUUUGACAGAGAUUUUUAUUCUAAUUGUGUUGAGGAGCCUCUGUAAUAAUUAUCUUCAGCUUUUGCCUGUGACUCUGUACUUCAAGAAAUGAGUGCUUGCUUAUAGCCAGUUACGUUCUGUGUUUGAUUGAAGUAUGGCUGUGUUCACACUGAGCUGGCCUUGAAGCUCUGAGUUAUAUGAUCUUGAGAGUCCCUCUGAGAUUAAGCGUAGAAACUUAGCUAUAGCCAGGUCCUGGCUUACUGUUUAGCAGAUGGAGGGUUCAGUUUCCAUAUUGGUAAAAUGAAUUCUUCAUGUAGAAUUGUAUUGAAGUUUUUUUUCUCCCCCUUGAGUGAUACAGUUUUAUAUGUAAAUGUCAAAAAAUUAGAAUCAUUCUAGGAGGGAAGAUAGAAAAUAAAUACGUCAGAGUACAGUCUUUGGUAGUAAAUUGUGCUAGCAAGAAAGCUCACACAGGAUAAAGAAGGGGCUACAGAUUGGUUGGGGUGGAAUCAGUGAGCAGAGCUGUUUUUGUUGGGUGUGUCUGGAUGGUCCUCCCUGAGGAAGGAUCAUCUGAGUAGAUAGUAAGGUGCUAAGCCAUGGACAGCAUGAGGGAAGAGGAGUCCCAGAAAAGAGAGGAGAGCAUCAGUUCUGGUACUUGGUGGUGGAGACAACUGAAACAUGAAGAACUGUUGCAGUGCAUUUUUUUCCAGGUAGUAUCUGCCAAUCAACAAAAAGAAGAAUAGGAUGUUUUUUUUCUUUUUUCCUUUGGUCCUUUUUUGGAGGGUAGCGGUGUUGGUGUUAUGUUCUUCACGAAGAUUCAACCUUUUAAAAAAGCCAAAGUACAGAUAUUAAUAUAUAUUAUGUGUGUGUGUGUAUAUAUAUAUAUAUAUAUAUAUAUAUAUGUAUGUAUUCAGGACCUUCAGUGUCUAAGGGAGUUUGGUUCUAGGCGAUACCCAAAUCCUCAAGUCUCUUGUAUAAAAUAGUGUAGUAUAUGCAUAAAAAUUACCCAAUCUUCUGAGUGAUUCUUUGAAUUAUUUGUAGGUUACUUCAAAUACCUAGUACAAUGUGAAUGUUAUAUAAAUAGUUGUUAUGUUGACUAGGAAAUAAUGACAAGAAAAUAAGUCUGUUUAUGUUCAGCACAAUUUUUCUUAAGUGAUUUUUGCUCUGCCAUUAGUUGAGUCCAUGGUUACAGAACCCAUGGAUACAAAGGGCCCAUUUUAUAGCGAUGUAUCUUAAACUCUGCACAGUUUUUAGUCAUCAUAUGUACCAGCUAUGAUUAUGUCUCUUCUUGGAUCUACUUUGAGUUUGGUGAUGGUAUUGUUGAGGAAACUAACAGGCUUCAGAUUGUAUGUAGAAGAUGGUCCUAAAGGUACCGUCAUCCAAGUUUAACUUUACAGUAAGAGCAUAAGUCUGCAAUGAGAUGGUUGUUGGCAACUUAAACCAAGUUGUCAAGAAAAAAUACAUAUAUAUUUAUACUUCUUUUAAAUUUAAUAAAGGAGAAAACUUGGGCACUGAUUAUUACAAAAAUAUUGUAGUUGAUACUGGUGCAAGGUAAAUACAUACAUCAGUGUAGCAGAAUUGAGGCUUCAAAAAUAAACAUUUAUGGUUAAUUGAUAGCUUUUAUGAACAGUUUUGUUAUUGUGCAGGAUAUUGUGUCCUUUGAAUUUGAAAUACUUAAAUUGUAACAUAGAAUUAAUAAAUUUUGUUUAUUCCAUUGUUAGAUAAUAGUUCCAUACUGUUCCAUUUUUGUUGCCUAGCUUUCAAAACCCCUGGGAACAUAACAGUACCAGCACUACAUACAUAGUGUCAGACUUUAGAAGAUGAUGCCCAUGGGUAGUUGUUUAUUUGAGGGGGAACUGUAGAAUGCUGACUUAAAACAGUGUUGUUCUAGGAGAUAUAGGUGGAUGAUAUUUUAAGAGUUUUCCUGAACUGGGGAUGUGGCUCAGUGGUAGGCCUGGGUUGAAGCCCCAGCACUACAAACAAACAAACAAACAAAAUCUUUCCCAAAAGUUGUUAUUUGACUUUUUAAAGUUCUUACAGAUACUUUGUUAGGCCGUUUUUGUUAUUUGGAACUAGUGUUUAUUUUUAUGCCCAUGAUAAGAACAUCAACAAAUCUGAGUUUGCUUACUUAUGUAGCUGGUAUGUGAAGGCUACUUGAAUACUCAUAGUUGUUUUAGGUUAGUUUUCCGUUGGGAGUCUCAGAUAGCUUUCCAUUACGUUUACAUUUUUACUUUGUGUGUCUUUUAAAGUCCUGCAUUAUUAAUAUUUUUAGUGUUAAGCUAACCACAUAGAUAAUGUGUAUUGAGUACACUUCUUAUACCCCCAAUUGUUUUCAAGUGCUAGUUGCCUUAAAGAUAAGAUUACCACCCUGUGCACUGUUGAUAGGAAUGUAAACUGGCAUUAUUGUGGAAAACAGUAAUAGAAUGGCCACAUGACUCGGCAAUUCCACUUCUGGAUAUAUACCCCCCAAAAUUGAAAGCAAAGACCUAAAGAGAGAUGUACAACCAUGUUCAUAACAGCAUUAUGCAUAAGAGCCUAAGUUGGGAGCAGCCCAAGUGUCCAUUGAUGCAUGAAUGGAAUAUCACCACAGGGCUGAACUUUGAAGGUAUCAUGCUAAGUGAAGUCAGCCAGUCAGAGAUACACUGUAUGAUUCCAUUUUUGAGGCCCUAUGUUAUUACAGAGACAGAAAGUAGAAAAGAGGCUAAUAGAAGCUAAAGGGAAGAGGAAUGCGUCCAAAUUGCAAUAUGAAAAAAGUUACAGAGAUGGAUAUGGUGAUGAUAUAACAUGUUAAUGUGCUUAAUCCUAUUGAACUGUUUGCUUAAAGAUGGUUAAGAUGAUAAAAGCAGCAAUAACCACAAACCCAUAUUACUUAAUUGUAAUUUUACUUCAGGUGGGAAAGACAAAUAAUUGCUACUGAAUUGUGGGGUGAGGAGUGAGUGGAGUUGUAGGUGACCCAGAAAUGACAGAAUAUUGAUAAUUGUUAAAUAGGGUGAAAAUCCAUAGUUCUGUUCUAUUUGUAUAUACUUGAAGAUUUCCCUAAGGCAAAAAUUUAAAAACUACUAAUUGAUCAAUUCAGUUUAGAAGAGUAAAUUUGUCAUUGUGGAUUUACUGUGGCCAUUCACCUUUUCCAUAACUGAUGGAUGUGUCCCUGGAGGAGAGAUGUGGACUGGUACAGAAUGGAGCAAGGGUGAGCCUUGGGAUGGGAGGAUGUUGCUUUCCAGUGUGCAGGCAGGGAAGGGAGCUUCUCUUAGAAAGUCCUCUCGGCUGCCCUCCUUUGUGUUGGGACAGUUACUGAUGGAACUAGGAAAAUAUGAAUAUGUUCAGUGGUCAUUCAUGUUGUUAAUUUCUCAUGAUAGGCCAAAAUGGUCAUGCUUGUUGCCAUGUUGUUGGGAACUUCAAAAAAAAAGUCUCAGUUACUGACCAUUGUGAGGUCAGUAAUGUGAGAAACACUGUGGUGUCCACUUCCUGGAGCAUAAGUUUAUCAUGAGCAAUGCUGUAUUAAGACUGUGAGAUUCUCAUCCAUGGCCUGGAGACAGGUUUAACAUCAUUGUUAAACUCCUUCCUGUGCUUCAAAAGCUCUAAGCGAAAGACAUGAGGCCUCAGCCUGAAAUGAGGUGUGGUUUUGAGGUCAUCCGAAGUGUGCGGUCGCCUCGUCCUGAAACCACUCCACACAGAAUGGUUUGCAAUUUUUUUUGGUGAUGGCAUGUUCAGAAUCUUGGAUCCUUAAAUUGACCAUAUUGGAAAUACUUAGGAACCUUGGAAGUUAAUGUUGUUUUUGAAUCUAUAAAUGACUUACUAGGUGAAUUAGUAGAUUUAAUAAAAGUAUAUAAAAGAAGUUUGUUCCUGUAA